rnacentral:rRNA from 1 species
UGCGCAGGCGGAAUAUUAAGUCAGUGGUGAAAGCCUACAGCUCAACUGUAGAACUGCCAUUGAUACUGAUCUUCUUGAGUAUAGUUGUAGUGGGCGGAAUAUAUCAUGUAGCGGUGAAAUGCUUAGAUAUGAUAUAGAACACCGAUCGCGAAGGCAGCUCACUAAACUAUAACUGACGCUCAGGCACGAAAGCGUGGGGAGCAAACAGGAUUAGAUACCCUGGUAGUCC